GACGAACGCUGGCGGCGUGCUUAACACAUGCAAGUCGAACGGAAAGGCCCUGCUUUUGUGGGGUGCUCGAGUGGCGAACGGGUGAGUAACACGUGAGUAACCUGCCCUUGACUUUGGGAUAACUUCAGGAAACUGGGGCUAAUACCGGAUAGGAGCUCCUGCUGCAUGGUGGGGGUUGGAAAGUUUCGGCGGUUGGGGAUGGACUCGCGGCUUAUCAGCUUGUUGGUGGGGUAGUGGCUUACCAAGGCUUUGACGGGUAGCCGGCCUAAGAGGGUGACCGGCCACAUUGGGACUGAGAUACGGCCCAGACUCCUACGGGAGGCAGCAGUGGGGAAUAUUGCACAAUGGGCGGAAGCCUGAUGCAGCAACGCCGCGUGCGGGAUGACGGCCUUCGGGUUGUAAACCGCUUUCGCCUGUGACGAAGCGUGAGUGGCGGUAAUGGGUAAAGAAGCACCGGCUAACUACGUG
rnacentral:rRNA from 1 species